GUGACGGUAGCUCAGUUGGCUAGAGCGCCCGGUUGUGGUCCGGGAGGUCGUGGGUUCGAGCCCCGUCCGUCACA
rnacentral:tRNA from 1 species